GGCUCCAGGACACUUAUAACAGGGUGUCAGUCCAACGCAGAACAAACUACAGACAGUUUACUGACGCUAAUCAGCCUACAGUGUGUGUCUUUGGAUGGGAGGAGAACAAAGAAUAUCAGAGGAAAACACCGGAGGAAGGAUUAACACAAAGCCCCACCAGCAUAUGAUGACCCAGCACGUCGCUCUUCCUGCUAUACUAUUCUGAUGUUCUCCUGUGUUCCUGAGGUCUUUAAGGUAUCGUGUAGAGGAAGCCCAGCCGAGAAGCCUGAUUUCCACGGCCUUAUUCUUUCAGUCACACGGCUCUUGACAAGUCAACAGAGAUGUUCUCCUUCACCACCACAGACCACAACAUCAACUGAAACACUGCUGCUUUCUUUGUCUUGAUCUGUUCUCUUCUAAUCUCUCAGCAAUAAGGACUAAACUGUACUUCUUCAUGCCACUGGCAGCCGUAACCUCCAGGGAAUACAUUCGUACUUUUUUUUUUACACCAUAAUUGUGAAAGUAGGGCACCUUUAAAAAGACCGAACCAACAAACAGCAGCUCGUGACCAAAGAUUUUGGUGGAACAGGACCAGGAUGACUAGCAAUGACAAAGCAGUCUAAUAGAC